UGGGUGACCCAGGUCAAGCUCAUCUUAAUGUAUGGUUGAUGAAAGGGAUGGGGUGAGGGGGGAGUGGGAGGGGAAGUUGUAAACUUGAAAGGGAUGGUAGAUAUACGGGAGGUAUCACUCUAGAAUAAUUUCGUGGACACAAACCAUGGAGACAUUAAUACUAUGAACGGGAGACUAGGGUAUUGAAUAGUACAGUAAACUACGGUUAUAACGAACUAGAAGGGACCACUAACUUUAGUUUGUUAUGACCAUAGUUCGUUAUAAGCAUAUAUACAGCAUAACUAUAGCAAAUAGUCGGGAUAAAAAUCAGUUCGUUGUAUCCGUCAGUUCGUUAUAAGCGUGUUCGUUAUAAACGUACUUUACUGUAGUGAUGGGAUGAUUACAACACUCGUCUUGACACAGGGCAGGUCAACAUGGAUUCAGAGAUGUUUGUUCUGUGUCUGUGAUCAGUGCUCAAUCAAAUGAUGAGUCAAGACAUGGUUGCACUGUUUGCAAAUGAUGCAGAGAUGAAUUUCCGUUCUUUUAUGGUACCCAUGUCAUUCCAUAACGCUAAAUGGACUGUGGAUCACUUGCAAAACCCGUUACAACUACAAGGAUUGGGUCGUCGGUCACCCGUGCAUCAACAUUGGUAUUAAUUAAUCUCUUGAGGACAAUGGUGUGUGAUGUUACAGGUGCUCAGAUCAACGCUAGCAUUAACUGAUCUCUUGAGGACAAUGGUGUGUGAUGUUACAGGUGCUCAGAUCAACACUAGCAUUAACUGAUCUCUUGAGGACAAUGGUGUGUGAUGUUACAGGUGUUCAGAUCAACACUAGCAUUAAUUGAUCUCUUGAGGACAAUGGUGUGUGAUGUUACAGGUUACAGGUGCCCAAGGGUAUAGUCCACCCGUCUUGACAGGGACAGUGGUAGGGCGUGUGUUUGAUUCAUAGGUACCACUGCGUCAGAUUACCCAAACAGCUUCCCACGGAUAUUCUCAUCAUGGAAUGGGUAUGAAUAUACGAGAAUCCGAAUAGGUUGGUUGGUGAUUGAUUGUACAUCUGCCAUUGAUCUAACUACCAGGGCCUUUCUUCUUUGGAGUACUAUGGGUGGUUUUUCACUGAUCGGAAAACAAAAAUGAAGAGCAAACGAAAAAUGCGUAUCACGGAUCAAAAUUAGGAGAAACCUAUUCUGAAUAAAAUGGAAAUGUAACCCUUUCAAUACAAGACCUGGGGCUAUUGAGAGAUUAGACAUAUGUGGAAUGUGGAGGGAGGUUGUGAUGAGUCGACCCUCAGAGUGUUCACAUACAGCAAGGUGUUCGCCGUUAUUUGAUGCCACAGCUAGUUUGCCUCAAGUUGUGGACAAAGGUGCGCCGUGCUUUGAAGGUGGCUAUGUGGACUGAAUGGUGCCACGCGGUGGACGUAGCUCCUCUACGAGACUGUGGCAACGGGUACAAGUCACAUCCUACAUAACCGACUGUGCAGACUAUGUAUGGUAACGUUCUCAGAGCAACAAAUAUCACACGGUUGGGGAAUAUGGAGUGACCUUCACCCCAGGAUUCGGUGAUGGACGUUUUAUCUGCAUAUGACGUUUCCCACUUUCUUUAAUAACUACCUUGUUUUAGUAGAUUUUCAACUUUUUAUCAUUUUUUUACCUGAUAUUGUGGUCCUUAGGUAUCUUGUUCAUUCCUGGAAGAAUACUGAAUCCAUACAUGUCAAGUCUUCACAUAAUCACAGUCAUAGCCUCUGAAUGUUUAACGCCGCAACGCAAUAUUCCAGCUAUAUGACUCCGGUGUGGUAGUAAUCGAGUCUGGACCAGACAAUCCAGUGAUUGAUAAUGUGAAUGAUCCACGCUGUUGGAAUACCAUCGCAGGAGGCAUUCAACCAAGUCACCGAGUCUGACAAUCUGAUACAUUUGAUCGCCUCUUUAGACCAGCAUAGAUCGGAGAUCUCUUCUAAUACGGGAUACCCAAUCUCUGCCAUCAGUAAGCCACACGGUCGUACAGAUGUACCCCCCCCCCCCCCCCCCCCAUCUCACCCUGCAAAGUCGAUGGAACCGAAUGGUCCUGUUGACGUGCUCUGAUCUCAAUUGUAAGAACACUUCACAACACAUUUCAGCACUCGCUGAUGGCCUUGUUUUGGUUAACAACUUUACUUUUGUAAAGAAUGUAAUUGUUUUGUUCAUUUACAACAAUCACGUUAAUCCAGAGGGUGGAGGAAGACAUGUAUAACCACACUUCAUAUUCUGUAAGAACAUUGGUGCUCAUUUCCCUGUCUUGCAAAACUACGGUUAAAACGAACGCAAAUGGGCAAUUCAUUUUAGUUUAUUAUAACCGAGGUUCGUUAUAAGCAUACAUAGCAAAUGGCCGGGACAAAAAAAACAGUUCGUUAUAUCCGUCGGUCCCUCAUAAACGUGUUCGUUAUAAGCGUAGUAGCGUACUGUAGAUCUUUCUUGUACAUUGGGUCUCAUUUCCCUUGUCCCGAGAUGGACACAUUUUCAUAUUUGGAAACCAGACCAUUGUCUUACGUAAGUCAGGUACACUUGAUAUUUUAUCCUGUUUUCAAAAUGGCUCUGCAGAUGACAAGACGUAUCCCCUGGGCCAGGUUGCACAAAACCAGCUCAGCUCUGAGACUAUUGUAACGUCCAUACUUUAACAUACGACAAACAAUAGUUGUAGCGCUGAGGUCACUUUGGACAAGCUGGUUCUGGUGAUGUGCCAAGUCUCAGGAACAGAAGAAUCCAGUCUCAUUGUUUGUUACUAACAUCAUAUUUAUUAAUACAACAUUUGGCACAUCACGGGUCAAUUACAUCCAUAAGCACCAGUGAUUAAGUCCAAGUGCAGAUUCAAGCACUACUUCCGUCUGUGUAAAUCUAACAUGAAACUCGUGUCUUGGGUAUAUAAAGCUUUAAACCCUUUCUACAUUUUGUUAUACAAAUACACGUCUUUCAAAUUGAUAUGCAUGUGAUUGUUUUCUUGCUAAGUCUAUGGGACAAGAUUGUAAAUAAAUGAAAAAGGAGACCUACAGUAAGUCUACAUUAACGUGGACACAACUAGGAAAAGAGGAUCCUUGUCUAUUUCAACGUUCUGAACUGGACGUGUCAAGUAAUAUAUAUAUAUAGAGAACAAAAAAGGUUGGGAUCAUAAUAUUAGGGAUAUGUUUCUGAAAGUGUGUGCUCAAUCCUCGCUACCCAAAAAAUAUCCCCAAAAUAUUUGAUCCCUAACUUUGUUUUGUAGGUUAAACCAAACAAAACCUUCUGAUAUCAUGCUUUGAUAGUAUCCCUGCAGUCAUGGAAACUUUAAUUUAUUUAUCGUAAUAUAUUUCACUUUAUCGUAUUCAAAAAAAAUUAUAUUAAAAGUAUCAUCAUGAUCAUAAUAAUUCCACCAAAACCGUAAUGGUUAGCAUCUCAGGUGAAAAUUCAUUUUUUAACAAAACAAUAGUGACGUGAUUGCCCUAACUCCAGUACCAUAUUUGCCGUAAAAAGCGCCCCCGGUGCUUAGACAUAUUGACAAAGGGAGAGCUUAUUAUACCAGCUUGUUAAACGUGUUGUCGAGAUGAGCAGUGGAGAACAACCUAGUUUUAAAAAAACAUUGAUGAAAGAAAGGUUUUGGAUAAUAGUUACUUGGCAACUAUAUCCCCCUUCUAUUCUGAUGUUUUCUGUAAAAAAGGUAUUGCAUGUACACAAGAAAAUACGGACUGUCAUACAAAUUUGGGGACUUAGUAGGGGUGCUUAUAAGGAUUACUUACAGAUUGGUCUAGAAAUUUGUCAGGGUAUGAGCAGGGCGCUUAAUACGGCAAAUACAGUACUUGAACAUGGUCAUGUGGCCGGCAGGGAACUGAAUAUGAUCUGGGUAACUAGCCCAACAGCUUGAUGGUGAAGGGCCAUUGCGUAAAUUACCCAACAUCCUCAAAUGUGAUAGUCUACCAAGUUUGGUCCAGAAGAGCCUUGUGUGUUUUCUUCCAAGCACUUUCUUUUAAAGUCACAAAUAAGUUGAUGUAAUGUGUACAAUACUCACAUAGAAUUGUAAAUAAAGUUCUUUCUUUC
rnacentral:lncRNA from 1 species